rnacentral:rRNA from 1 species
UACGUAGGGUGCAAGCGUUGUCCGGAAUUAUUGGGCGUAAAGAGCUCGUAGGCGGUUUUGUUGCGUCGGCUGUGAAAUCCCGAGGCUCAACCUCGGGUCUGCAGUCGAUACGAGCAAACUAGAGUGUUGCAGGGGAGACUGGAAUUCCUGGUGUAGCGGUGAAAUGCGCAGAUAUCAGGAGGAACACCGGUGGCGAAGGCGGGUCUCUGGGCCGAUACUGACGCUGAGGAGCGAAAGCGUGGGGAGCGAACAGG